rnacentral:rRNA from 1 species
CCUACGGGAGGCAGCAGUGAGGAAUAUUGGUCAAUGGUCGGGAGACUGAACCAGCCAAGCCGCGUGAGGGAAGAAGGUACAGAGUAUCGUAAACCUCUUUUGUCAGGGAACAAAGGCGGGGACGUGUCCCCGGAUGAGUGUACCUGAAGAAAAAGCAUCGGCUCACUUCGCGCCAGCGGCCGCGGUAAUACGGGGGAUGCGAGCGUUAUACGGUUUUAUUGGGGUAAAAGGGUGUGAAGGCGGUCUGUUAAGUCAGCGGUCAAAGCCCGGGGCUCAACCCCGGCCCGCCGUUGAAACUGGCAGUCUCGAGUUGGAGAGAGGUAUGCGGAAUGCGCGGUGUAGCGGUGAAAUGCAUAGAUAUCGCGCAGAACUCCGGUUGCGAAGGCAGCAUGCCGGCUCCACACUGACGCUGAGGCACGAAAGCGUGGGUAUCGAACAGGAUUAGAUACCCUGGUAGUC